GGAUGUAAGGACAAUCUGCCUGCCAUAUCUGUCACCCCGUUGAUUGACAGGGUGGAUUUGACUGAUCUGGCUGGCUAGGUGGGUGUGGCCUUCCUCCCUCACUGCUCCAUGUGUGUCCAUCCUAAAGCUGUGUGCUUGGGUGAAAAAGAUGACCUUCUCUGAAUAGAGAAAAAAAUGGUCUUUGGUCAAGGGUAUAUGAGUAGCUGCAUCCCCUGCUAGAACUUCCAAACAAGCUCUCAAGAAAGAACUCCUGUUGGACUUGCAUGGUACCCCUUGGGUCCAGCACAG
rnacentral:snRNA from 1 species